AGAGGAAGCGCGAGCCAAUCAGAAAGGGCUUCAGGCAAGGAAGGGGAGCCAAUAAGGAAAACGAAAUCCGCGAGGGCGGCGGUUUGAACGGCCUUUCAACGAACGGUGGCGAGCACGUAGAGCUACGAAAGAUGUAGACCUGCGUGUACGUUUCUCCUUGACGCGGGCGAUUUGCGAAACCCACCCGUGCUUUCCGUUCGAUAGGGCUCUCACUACAAAGAUGCGGAGCCCUAGAGCGACGCCGCUCUGAGCUCAGCCUGAGGGAGUGGGGGAAAAUAUUAUUAUAAGAAGUCUGUGACGUCCAGGAAGGAAGCAGUAUGGCCUAGUGGCUACGGUUUCUGACUCUGACCCUGGGUGACCAGGGCUUGAAUUCCCAUGCAAGCUCCCCGCGUGUACGACCUGGAGCCCUGUAGUAACAUCCGUUUUCAUUGACAGAAGAAAACAGCAGCAGCAUCUUCAUUCACCUUCAGCAGAGUUGAGGCCUGUGCCAAAGCACACCAGUAUUGCCCAAUGUCGAUGGUGAGUGUGGCUCUCACAAACCAUCCAGAGUGGGAUAUUAAUUAUAAUAAUUUAUUACUUGCAUCCUGUCCAUCUGACUAGGUUGUCCCAGCCACUCUGGGUGGCUUCCAACAGAAUAUAUAAAACACACAAUGAAACAACAGACAUUAUUUAAAAGCUUCUUGAUCCAGGUCUGCCUUCAGAUGUCUAUGGAAAGUCAUGUAAUUGUUUAUCUAUUUGACAUCUGAUAGGAGGGUCAAGCGAAAUGCCAUGGUUUUGCAAUGUUGUAAAGCGAGAAGGAACAUGACUUGCCAGUGAAUUAUGGGGAACAAAUGAUGAAUCAAAUAAAACCAAGGCUAUGUCCUGUUCAACAGGGAAAAUGGGAAAGUGUAUGGGAAGAGGACAGCUGGGGAGGAAAGAGAAGAAAUACUGCAUUGGACAUAUUGAGGAUUUAAGAUGAUAAAGCAUUUUAAGCUCGGACAAAUUCCUCUCAAGGAAAUUGCCUCAUUAAUGCUAAUAAAACCUGGUAGUAAUGAGGAAUGUAAAGGUUCUUAUCAAAGAAAAAAGUGCAAACAUUCACGUGUACAGAAUAGUAUAAACUUUUUAUUUUUUUUCUUUGUGAUUUAUCUGACAUUUGUUUUUACAAUAUAGAAAAGUGUAUUCUUUGAAUAGGUCUAGUAAAUAUAAAUUUCAAUCUAUUUUAGAUGUAAACCAGAACUAGAAAAUUAAUCCCCGACACCCUCCCCUCUCAAAAUCUGCCGACAAUGGGUAUGAUACAAAAGCAUUCCAGCUGGGCAUUUUCCAAUCAUGCCAGAAAUGCAGGAGAAACACUAAUUUGGAGACGUUGUACUGCACGAGUGUUUCAUAGAUUCCUCCCAGUAUCUUGAUGUUAAUUUUAACUAACUUGUUCAGCAGUUUCAUGCAGGGAACCAUGUUCAAAAACACAAAAGCAGGAGUAAGAAGACGGGAAGAACCAAGCUAAAUACAGGAAAGAGCUUGUUCUAAAGGGGGGGAGGGAGUGGGGGACAGAAAAGUACAUCUUUGAUUGCACCUUCUUCAUAUCUUUUACACGCAAUUCCAUCAUACAUAAUCUACAACCGGAAUCCAAACUUCACAAAAGGUUUUCUGCACACUUAUAAAUACACAUCACAAAAGGUGCAAGUUAGAAUAAGACACAAGAGUAUGUACAAAAUUAAACACAUAUUUAGUUCUAGAUCAAAGUAUGCAUGUUCAAAAAAAUAACUUGAUCAAGUAUUAUUUUAUCCACUUACACUAAUUUACAUUUAUACAUCUCUUAUCAUAUGGACACUUAUGGAAUUAGUAAAAAGGUGAGCUUCACCAUCUACUCUGAAAAGGUAACACACUGACUUUUGACUCCAAGUCAAGAGUUCUACUCAUAAAACAAUUCUGGUAAAAGGAAAAACAGCUUCCCUUUCAGGGUUGAGUGUACGUAUAUGCCAGCCUGCUAUGUGUAUACAUACACAGUUACAAAACAAAAUAUAUAUGUACAGUUCUAUGCUGUCCCUUUGGGGGUAAAGAACUGAAGUAUUACAGAGCAGACUAAGAUAAUAGCAAGUGCUUGCUAAUUCAAGCAUGAGAUUUAUAUCCAUUCAUGAAACUUAGAAUGAUUGAAUCAUUUGCUGCAUUAGAAAACCAUGCAAGUGUGUUUAGCAAUUUAAUAAUAUUUGUUACAAAGGCUUUCGCUUUGAAGCAUCUCCACCCAAAAUAAUGCUAUUUCAUGGGGGGUGGGGUGGAGUGGGGGGUUCUGUUCCACCAAGGAAUUAUGAGGUUUAGCUUUGUCUUACUAGGACGUGUCAGCCACUGCACUGCUAAAACAUACUUUUUAAUAAGUAAGCUAAAACUUGAGGUGUAUACAAAAACAGAAACAAAA